UGCCACAGCCAUAUCAACCUGCAGCCCAUGACCAGUUACUCACUGAAGCUAAGCAGAGCUGAGCCUGGUCAGUACCUGGAUGGGAGACCACAUUGCAAAACUAGGUUGCUGUUGGAA
rnacentral:rRNA from 1 species